AGCGAACGCUGGCGGCAGGCCUAACACAUGCAAGUCGAACGGACCCUUCGGGGUUAGUGGCGGACGGGUGAGUAACACGUGGGAACGUGCCUUUAGGUUCGGAAUAGCUCCUGGAAACGGGUGGUAAUGCCGAAUGUGCCCUUCGGGGGAAAGAUUUAUCGCCUUUAGAGCGGCCCGCGUCUGAUUAGCUAGUUGGUGGUGUAACGGACCACCAAGGCGACGAUCAGUAGCUGGUCUGAGAGGAUGAUCAGCCACAUUGGGACUGAGACACGGCCCAAACUCCUACGGGAGGCGGCAGUGGGGAAUCUUGCGCAAUGGGCGAAAGCCUGACGCAGCCAUGCCGCGUGAAUGAUGAAGGUCUUAGGAUUGUAAAAUUCUUUCACCGGGGACGAUAAUGACGGUACUCGGAGAAGAAGCACCGGCUAACUACGUGCCAGCCGCCGCCGUAAAAC
rnacentral:rRNA from 1 species